AUUGGGGCCAUGAAUUAAAGUAACACUUUGAGAUAUAGUGGCAGACCUACAGGUAGUUAUUGAAAAGAUGGUGGUAGAAGUUGAAAAUAGAUGAAAUCUGAUAGGAAGAACUAAACUACUAAAAAAUACAUAAAAUCUAUAACUAAAAGAUACUAAAAGAUAACAUUGAUAAGAAGAUCACAUUUGUAUAACCUAAAAGCAUGCCAUCAAUUAAAUUAUGACCCUACAAGUUUCAUCAUCCACUUUAUCUUGUUUUUGACUUAAAUUGGGUUUGAUUGUGACAGGAAGGCGAUCAAUGAUUUGUCAAUGGGUUUGAGCGUUGAUUGCCUCAAUUUUGAGUGCUUAUAUUUUCGAGCUUCAUGCUACCAUGCUCUUGGACAAUACAAAUAGGCAGUAAAUUUUUACUCUUAACUUUUUGGGAGAAAUACUGAUUCACAUUUGUCACUCAGCAACUUCAUUUAUGAUCUCAGGUCAAGGAUUAUGAUGCUACUCUGGAUUUGGAAUUGGACUCAAUGGAUAAGUUUGUGCUUGAGUGCCUUGCCUUCUACCAUGUUUGUAUAUUGUUGAGGCAAUUGCUUUUGUUGCUUUAAUGCUAGUAUUGGAGCAGUUGCAGAUUGCUGCUUUGACAACUAUUGACAUGUGUAAUAAGGAGAAGAGAAAAAGCAAUAUGUUGUGAAGUUGCUAUCACGGUGAUGGAGUGCAAUGACAAGAUCAACUCCAAGAUGGUGAUUAUUAGGAAACUAUAGACUUGUCAUUCUAUGUUGUAGAAUUUAUAUUAUUUGANGUCUUAGAAACAGUACAAUCAAUUUAUGAUAUUAGGCAUCUUGUAAACUUAUUUGAUAAUGAUUUUUAAAUAAUAUAUAAUUAUUUUUAAUGUGAAAUGCUUCAUAUGGUGUUAAACAAAAGUUAUU